rnacentral:rRNA from 1 species
AUAAUGGGUCAGCGACUUAUAUUCUGUAGCAAGGUUAACCGAAUAGGGGAGCCGAAGGGAAACCGAGUCUUAACUGGGCGUUAAGUUGCAGGGUAUAGACCCGAAACCCGGUGAUCUAGCCAUGGGCAGGUUGAAGGUUGGGUAACACUAACUGGAGGACCGAACCGACUAAUGUUGAAAAAUUAGCGGAUGACUUGUGGCUGGGGGUGAAAGGCCAAUCAAACCGGGAGAUAGCUGGUUCUCCCCGAAAGCUAUUUAGGUAGCGCCUCGUGAAUUCAUCUCCGGGGGUAGAGCACUGUUUCGGCAAGGGGGUCAUCCCGACUUACCAACCCGAUGCAAACUGCGAAUACCGGAGAAUGUUAUCACGGGAGACACACGGCGGGUGCUAACGUCCGUCGUGAAGAGGGAAACAACCCAGACCGCCAGCUAAGGUCCCAAAGUCAUGGUUAAGUGGGAAACGAUGUGGGAAGGCCCAGACAGCCAGGAUGUUGGCUUAGAAGCAGCCAUCAUUUAAAGAAAGCGUAAUAGCUCACUGGUCGAGUCGGCCUGCGCGGAAGAUGUAACGGGGCUAAACCAUGCACCGAAGCUGCGGCAGCGACGCUUAUGCGUUGUUGGGUAGGGGAGCGUUCUGUAAGCCUGCGAAGGUGUGCUGUGAGGCAUGCUGGAGGUAUCAGAAGUGCGAAUG